AGAAGGAAGCACUGGAAAGAUGGAAAGAAGAUGAGAGAAGGAAAUUUAAUCAGGAAAUUGCAGAUCUGAGACAGCUGUUUCUCCAGGAGUAUAAAGACAUGGCAAGCAAGAGCUCAUCUAUUGAGGCUAAACUGCUGGUGUUACAGAACAAAGAAAUGGCUGGAUUCAACAAUGCACGUUUACAACAAGACAGUGACCCUGAGAAAGAAAUCAGAGAAAACAGAGAGAGAGAGCUGAGAGAGAGAAUGGCCAUAAAGAAAAGUGAAUGGAAGAGGAAAUUUCAGGAAGCACAGAAAAGACAUCUGCAGGAAAACGAAGAG